AGCCGGUGAUGUUCAGUGGAUAUUUUCUGACACCUCGUAUGAGAGCCGCGUGCUCCUGAUUCUAGCUUUUAACCUGAGGCCG
ensembl:snoRNA